UGUCAAGGGAUUGGGAAUCGAACCCACGACCUUCCGCUUACCGGGCAGAUGCCAUGACCACUAGGCUACCCUGGAC